rnacentral:rRNA from 1 species
GACGAACGCUGGCGGCGUGCUUAACACAUGCCAGUCGAACGGAAAGGCCCCUUUGGGGGUACUCGCCUGGCGUACGGGUGAGUAACCUGUGCGUUACCUGCCCUUGACUUCGGGAUAAUGUCACGAAACUGGGGCUAAUCCUCGACCGGAAUCCCUGCUGCAGGGUGGGGGUUGGAAAGUUCCGGCGGUUUUGGAUGGACUUGACGCAUAUCCGCUCGUUGGUUGGGUAGUGGCUUACCAAGGCAUUGACGGGUAGCCGGGCAGGGGGGGCGAACGGGCACAAUGGGACUAAAAUACGGCCCAGACUCCUACGGGGGGCAAGAGUGGGGAAUGGUGCCCAAAGGGCAGAAGCCAGAUUGAGCAACGGCGCGUGCGGGAUGACGGGCUUCGGGUUGGAAAACGCUUUCAGCAGGAGCGAAGCUUGUAGUGACGGUACCUGCAGAAGAAGCACCGGCUAACUACGUG